rnacentral:rRNA from 1 species
UACGUAGGCAGCGAGCGUUGUUCGGAGUUACUGGGCGUAAAGGGUGUGUAGGCGGUUCUUUAAGUUUGGUGUGAAAUCUCCCGGCUCAACCGGGAGGGUGCGCCGAAUACUGAGGAACUUCGAGUGCGGGAGAGGAAAGUGGAAUUCCUGGUGUAGCGGUGAAAUGCGUAGAUAUCAGGAGGAACACCGGUGGUGUAGACGGCUUUCUGGACCGUAACUGACGCUGAGACACGAAAGCGUGGGUAGCAAACAGG